AGCAGCCGCGGUAAUUCCAGCUCCAAUAGUGUAUAUUAAAGUUGUUGCAGUUAAAAAGCUCGUAGUUGAAUUUCGGGGUCAGUAGGUUGGUCAUGCCACUGGUAUGUACUGGCCUCACUGAUUCCUCCUUCCUGAUGAGCCGUAAUGCCAUUAAUUUGGUGUUGCGAGGAAUCUGGACUGUUACUUUGAAAAAAUUAGAGUGUUUAAAGCAGGCUAACGCUUGAAUACAUUAGCAUGGAAUAAUGAAAUAGGACGUUCGAUCUUAUUUUGUUGGUUUCUAAGAUUGACGUAAUGAUUAAUAGGGAUAGUUGGGGGCAUUAGUAUUCAAUUGUCAGAGGUGAAAUUCUUGGAUUUAUUGAAGACUAACUACUGCGAAAGCAUUUGCCAAGGAUGUUUUCAUUAAUCAAGAACGAAAGUUAGGGGAUCGAAGACGAUCAGAUACCGUCGUAGUCUUAACCAUAAACUAUGCCGACUAGGGAUCGGAUGAUGUUAAUUUUUAAUGACUCAUUC
rnacentral:rRNA from 1 species